UUAGUGGCGGACGGGUGAGUAACGCGUGAGUAACCUGCCUUUGAGAGGGGAAUAACUUCCCGAAAGGGAUGCUAAUACCGCAUAACGCAUAGAAGUCGCAUGGCUUUUAUGCCAAAGAUUUAUCGCUCAAAGAUGGACUCGCGUCCGAUUAGCCAGUUGGCGGGGUAACGGCCCACCAAAGCGACGAUCGGUAGCCGGACUGAGAGGUUGAACGGCCACAUUGGGACUGAGACACGGCCCAGACUCCUACGGGAGGCAGCAGUGGGGGAUAUUGCGCAAUGGGGGGAACCCUGACGCAGCAACGCCGCGUGAAGGAUGAAGGUUUUCGGAUUGUAAACUUCUUUUAUUUAGGACGAACAAUGACGGUACUAAAUGAAUAAGCUCCGGCUAACUACGUGCCAGCAGCCGCGGUAAUACGUAGGGAGCAAGCGUUAUCCGGAUUUACUGGGUGUAAAGGGUGCGUAGGCGGCUUGAUAAGUCAGAUGUGAAAUGUAUGGGCUCAACCCAUGCACUGCAUUUGAAACUAUUGAGCUUGAGUGAAGUAGAGGUAGGCGGAAUUCCCUGUGUAGCGGUGAAAUGCGUAGAGAUAGGGAGGAACACCAGUGGCGAAGGCGGCCUACUGGGCUUUAACUGACGCUGAGGCACGAAAGCGUGGGUAGCAAACAGGAUUAGAUACCCUGGUAGUCCACGCUGUAAACGAUGAUUACUAGGUGUGGGGGGUCUGACCCCUUCCGUGCCGGAGUUAACACAAUAAGUAAUCCACCUGGGGAGUACGACCGCAAGGUUGAAACUCAAAGGAAUUGACGGGGG
rnacentral:rRNA from 1 species